AGUUAAAAAACUUUAGAUAAGUAUAUAUCUUGAAAAUAUAAAAAAAAAGUUAAAUUCUUUUAUUAACUU
rnacentral:tRNA from 1 species